GAUUCGUCUGGGGGGGAGAGUGGCGAACUGGUGAGUAACACGUGGGUGACCUGCCCCGAAGACGGGGAUAACCGUUGGAAACGACGGCUAAUACCCGAUAUACUCGGUGAUUCGGUUCAUCGAGUAAAGGCUCCGGUGCUUCGGGAUGGGCCUGCGCCCUAUCAGCUAUAUGGUGGGGUAAUGGCCCACCAAGGCGAAGACGGGUAGGGGGCGUGAGAGCGCGGCCCCCCACACUGGCACUGAGAUACGGGCCAGACUUCUACGGAAGGCAGCAGUCGGGGAUAUUGCACAAUCGGCGAAAGCCGGAUGCAGCGACGCCGCGUGGGCGAUGAAGGCCUUCGGGUUGUAAAGCCCUUUUAUGGGGGAAGAGACAAGGACGGUACCCCAAGAAUAAGCGUCGGGUAACUACGUGCCAGCAGCCGCGGUAAAAACGUAGGACGCAAGCGUUAUCCCGGAUUUAACUGGGCGGUAAAAGAGCGUUGAGGCGGUUCCGUAAGUUGGGCGUGAAAGCCCCCGGGCUUAACCCGGGGAGGGUCGUCCAAUACUGCCGGGACUUGAAGGGCAGCAGAGGGAGGCGGAAUUCCCGGUGUAGCGGUGAAAUGCGGUAGAUAUCGGGGGAGGGAAACACCAGUGGCGAAGGCGGGCCUCCUGGGGCUGUUUCUGACGCUGAAGGCCGUAAGCUAGGGGAGCGAACGGGAUUUAGAAACCCCGGUAGUUCUAGCCGUAAAACGAUGGGUUGCUGGGUGUGCGGGGUAUAGAUCCCCUCCGUGCCGAAAGCUAACGCGUUAAGCAUCCCGCCUGGGGAUUACGGGAGGCAAGGUUUAAACUCAAAACGAAUUUGACGGGGCCCGGCACAAGCACCGGAGCGUGUGGUUUAAUUCGAUGCUACACGAAGAACCUUACCUGGGCUUGACAUGUAGGUAGUAGUGAAGCGAAAGCGGAACGACCCUUCGGGGAGCCUACACAGGUGCUGCAUGGCUGUCGUCAGUUCGUGCCGUGAGGUGUCGGGUUAAGUCCCGUAACGAACGCAACCCUUGCCCUUAGUUACAUGUGUCUAAGGGGACUGCCCGGGACAACUGGGAGGAAGGUGGGGAUGACGUCAAGUCAGCAUGGCCUUUAUGUCCAGGGCUACACACACGCUACAAUGGCCGGUACAAUGGGUCGCCAAGCCGUGAGGCGGAGCCAAUCCCCCAAAGCCGGUCUAAGUUCGGAUUGUGGGCUGCAACUCGCCCAUAUGAAGCUGGAGUUGCUAGUAACCGCGCGUCAGCAAUAGUGCGGUGAAUACGUUCCCGGGCCUUGUACACACCGCCCGUCACGUCAUGGAAG
rnacentral:rRNA from 1 species